GAUUUCUGGCUGGUCGCUCUGACCCGGUGUCGUCCCUCGUGGGCGUCUGCUGUGUGUCGGAACUGACCUUCCAUCCUUUCUGGAUAGCCUCGUGUACUGUUUACUCAGUUGCGCGAUGUUUUGCGAUCCAGAUCUUUUACUUUGAAAAAAUUAGAGUGUUUAAAGCAGGCUUACGCCGUGAAUACAUUAGCAUGGAAUAAUAAUAUAGGACUUUGGUUCUAUUUUGUUGGUUUCUAGGACUAAAGUAAUGAUUGAUAGGGAUAGUUGGGGGUGCUAGUAUUCAGCGGCCAGAGGUGAAAUUCUUGGAUUCGCUGAAGACUAACUACUGCGAAAGCAUU
rnacentral:rRNA from 1 species